GAAAGGCCAAUUUCCCCCUAAAAUUUGGGGAUGUAACCCCUGCGUCUUCUCUCUCUCCUAUCUUGCUCUACCCAUCCCCCUUCAAUCUGUUUUAUCUCCCUUUCUCUCUCUUCCCUUACUCCCCACUAUCCAUGUUCCCCUUUCCUUGCGUCUUUAAACACGGCAUUCUGCAAAGCUUUUUGCAGUGGUUCUAACUUUGAGAUGUGUCUGUUGCUCUUCCCCCAAAGUUAGGGGGCGAAGAUUGUUGGUGAGGUUCUUGUAUCCAUCCAUGUCCCAUGGAUGGGCCUAAAGAGAAACUCAUAUACUGGUGAACAGGUUGAGUCAACGGUGUGUCAAUUGCAAGCAAUUGUGUUCGAAAUUUGAACAUCACCAUUGAGAGGCUUGAUGCCAUUCCAAGGAGUGAUGUCAACAGGGCGUGCUUUGCCAUAUGUUUUCCUUUCCAUUGCAGAGUAAUUCUAUGAUUAUGUCUGCAAGUCAGUGUUUUUGGACUCAGCUGAGUUACUCGGCCUCGGCCUCUGAUCAAUUCGAGUUUGCCUCAAUUUAUUAGUACACCUCCCUGGAAAUAGGGAGGUGGCGCUCUCUCUCUAAGCAAGAAAAUUCUGUUUCUUUCUCUCUCUAGCCGGGGCCUCUCUCUCUCUCUGAAUUACACCACUGGAGCGGCGCCUCCUUUCUUUCUCGCUCUAAAUCGCCCUGCUGGGCAAACUGCCUUUCUCUCUCUAAAAACAGGGCAUCACCCUUUAGAGAGAGAGAGGGGAAUUUUUUUGAGUGUUGAGUGCAGCAGAGGCUGAGAUGUGUGGCCAUGAACAUCCCAUCUCAAAGUUCUGAGUUCCUGCAGAUAUCCUCCACCACUACUGCAUGCAUCAACACCCUCAAUCAAAUAUCAAAGCCCUCGCUUCAGGUCUCUCUCUCUCAAAAUUUUGCCUUCUCCAUUGCUUUCUAUUCUUCCCCAUUCUACACUAUCGAAUACCCUCUAUAUCUCAUAGUCUUUAGGUGCGGGUGCGUUGCUGGGAGCGGGAGCUGGCUUGGGCCUGCAGAACCGUGGAUUGCUGGAACUUCCUUGUGGUCAGGGUUGUCGUCAGUACCAUCCUAUAUCAAGGGAGCACAAUCCUUGUCACAGGGGAGCGCAAUCAUUCUCUCUCUUCCCCUCUCUCUUUAUUCUUCCCCAUUCUUCAGGCCUCAACAAUGGCUCCAUUUGAGGCCUCUUCAAAAUUCCAGGGGCAAGAGACACGUCGCCAAAAUUUGGCCCCAAGCUCUCCCCUCUGCUCACGUUCUCUACCCCCUCUCUCUCCUGGGCAGUGUUUAAAAAGUGCCCCAUUUCAACUGAGACAUGGGCAAGUUACUUGACUGGGGUGGCCUGCCGAGCCUGGAACAGAUACCUAAAAGUACCCUGUAAAGUACUCAGGCUAGAGCUGGACAGAUUAUGAACAAUCUUAAUGGAAAAUCUCACCAAAAUGAUACCAUUUUAAAGCUCCAAAGAUACACCGUAUUACAAGAGGAACUGCGCACAUGUUCACAGUUUCUAUGCGAGGGGUGAAUGCAUAAGAUGUCCGAAUGUCCAUAUAGGCAUGAAUAUAUUUUGAAAAUACAUUAUGAUGUACAUUAAGCAUGAACGCUAUUACAGGUUAUGUCAAAACUUUAAGGGGUUUGUUUCUUUGACUGUAAUAGAAAAGAGAAAGGUGAUGUAGAUACUUAUUGAAGAAAUGUAUUUUAAAGUAAAAAUACUCUGGAAAAUAACUGACCACUAUUAUUUUUCAUUGUUGAGGGGAAUGACCGAUUAGAUCUUCCCAUUGUUUGUCA